GUGGGGAAUAUUGGGCAAUGGGCGCAAGCCUGACCCAGCAACGCCGCGUGAGGGAAGAAGGUUUUCGGAUUGUAAACCUCUGUCGCAAGGGACGAAAGCAAUGACGGUACCUUGUGAGGAAGCCCCGGCUAACUACGUGCCAGCAGCCGCGGUAAUACGUAGGGGGCGAGCGUUGUCCGGAAUUACUGGGCGUAAAGGGUGCGUAGGCGGUUGCUUAAGUUGGAUGUGAAAUACCCGGGCUUAACUUGGGGGGUGCAUUCAAAACUGGGCGACUAGAGUUCAGGAGAGGGAAGCGGAAUUCCUAGUGUAGCGGUGAAAUGCGUAGAGAUCGGGAGGAACACCAGUGGCGAAGGCGACUUACUGGACUGUAACUGACGCUGAGGCGCGAAAGUGUGGGGAGCAAACAGGAUUAGAAACCCUAGUAGUCC
rnacentral:rRNA from 1 species